UACAGAGGUCCCAAGCGUUGUUCGGAUUCACUGGGCGUAAAGGGUGCGUAGGUGGUUGGGUAAGUCUGAUGUGAAAUCUCCGGGCUCAACCCGGAAAUGGCAUUGGAUACUAUUCGGCUAGAGGUUUGGAGGGGGGACUGGAAUUCUCGGUGUAGCAGUGAAAUGCGUAGAUAUCGAGAGGAACACCAGUGGCGAAGGCGAGUCCCUGGACAACACCUGACACUGAGGCACGAAAGCUAGGGGAGCAAACGGG
rnacentral:rRNA from 1 species